UCCUCUGCCUUUGAUUGUGGACGUGGGAAAGUACCGCUUCGCUGAAAGGAUUGUGCGCAGCCGAUGCAUCUGUUGCCCUCCCAUCUGCCCAUCCUCCUCUCCUGUGCCAUUGGAUUCGUGUGAUUGUUGCUUACCGAGGCACGCCACACACAGACGCAGCGGCAUACACACAGUCACACGAGAAGUCCGCCAGGCAAAUCGAUUAUACACCUCCGCCCUUUGACCGCUCUGCUAACGGAAUCUCUGACGGUUGCUGUGCUGUGCCCACAAUCGUUUGCGUUGCCUAGUGCUGUACCACUCAUCGUCGUCACCAUUGCUGCAGUUCUGGUAGAGCGCACAUCCUCACACGUCGUCUCAUCCGGCCACGUGCCUCCGCCCCAGAACGCUUCGUUAUCUAAGCCCCUCCCCUCCUCUUCCCAGAGAAAGACACACACAGAGAAGCAAACGCGAACCCCUCGUGUGAGUGCGCGCACGUGUGUGACUGUCUCUCGUACUCUCUCUCCCCAGUUGCAUGUGCUCCAAGCCUCUCUCGUGCUUGUGAGAUUUCGCAUGCACGCCAGCUCCCAGAGAGACGCACACAUACACACGCAUACACACGCACUUUACCCUUUUCAUAUUUCGUCCGUCCCCCCUGUAUCCCUUGCUUCUCUUCGUUGCUCUUGCCUCUCUCCCCCUUCUCUGCAACUCCUUCCCUGUACCGGCCCCACUCUACUCUAAACGCAG
rnacentral:misc_RNA from 1 species